rnacentral:rRNA from 1 species
GAUCUCAAAUCAGGCGGGACUACCCGCCGAACUUAA